GACGAACGCUGGCGGCGUGCUUAACACAUGCAAGUCGAACGGAAAGGCCCUGCUUUUGUGGGGUGCUCGAGUGGCGAACGGGUGAGUAACACGUGAGUAACCUGCCCUUGACUUUGGGAUAACUUCAGGAAACUGGGGCUAAUACCGGAUAGGAGCUCCUGCUGCAUGGUGGGGGUUGGAAAGUUUCGGCGGUUGGGGAUGGACUCGCGGCUUAUCAGCUUGUUGGUGGGGUAGUGGCUUACCAAGGCUUUGACGGGUAGCCGGCCUGAGAGGGUGACCGGCCACAUUGGGACUGAGAUACGGCCCAGACUGCGACGGGAGGCAGAAGUGGGGAAUAUUGCACAAUGGGCGGAAGCCUGAUGCAGCAACGCCGCGUGCGGGAUGACGGCCUUCGGGUUGUAAACCGCUUUCGCCUGUGACGAAGCGUGAGUGACGGUAAUGGGUAAAGAAGCACCGGCUAAGUACGUG
rnacentral:rRNA from 1 species